GGGUAGUUUGACUGGGGCGGUCUCCUCCCAAAGAGUAACGGAGGAGCACGAAGGUUAGCUAAUCACGGUCGGACAUCGUGAGGUUAGUGCAAAGGCAUAAGCUAGCUUGACUGCGAGAGUGACGGCUCGAGCAGGUACGAAAGUAGGUCUUAGUGAUCCGGUGGUUCUGAAUGGAAGGGCCAUCGCUCAACGGAUAAAAGGUACUCCGGGGAUAACAGGCUGAUACCGCCCAAGAGUUCAUAUCGACGGCGGUGUUUGGCACCUCGAUGUCGGCUCAUCACAUCCUGGGGCUGAAGUAGGUCCCAAGGGUAUGGCUGUUCGCCAUUUAAAGUGGUACGCGAGCUGGGUUUAGAACGUCGUGAGACAGUUCGGUCCCUAUCUGCCGUGGGCGUUGGAAGAUUGAGAGGGGUUGCUCCUAGUACGAGAGGACCGGAGUGAACGCACCACUGGUGUUCGGGUUGUCAUGCCAAUGGCAUUGCCCGGUAGCUAAGUGCGGAAAAGAUAAGCGCUGAAAGCAUCUAAGCGCGAAACUUGCCUCAAGAUGAGUCUUCCCUGGGCCUUUAAGGCCCCUGAAGGAACGUUUAAGACUAAGACGUUGAUAGGCUGGGUGUGUAAGUGCAGCGAUGCAUUGAGCUAACCAGUACUAAUGAUCCGUGAGGCUUAACCUUACAACACCGAAGGUGUUU
rnacentral:rRNA from 1 species